GAGACUUGAAGACGGAGGAGGGCAACGAGCAAUCCAGAUAUAUGGCGGCCUCCCCGCUAGGAUUGAGUGGUGUCUCUGGUUUGCCCAUCUGUGCUCUA